rnacentral:rRNA from 1 species
GAUGAACGCUGGCGGCGUGCCUAAUACAUGCAAGUCGAGCGAACGGACGAGAAGCUUGCUUCUCUGAUGUUAGCGGCGGACGGGUGAGUAACACGUGGAUAACCUACCUAUAAGACUGGGAUAACUUCGGGAAACCGGAGCUAAUACCGGAUAAUAUUUUGAACCGCAUGGUUCAAAAGUGAAAGACGGUCUUGCUGUCACUUAUAGAUGGAUCCGCGCUGCAUUAGCUAGUUGGUAAGGUAACGGCUUACCAAGGCAACGAUGCAUAGCCGACCUGAGAGGGUGAUCGGCCACACUGGAACUGAGACACGGUCCAGACUCCCACGGGAGGCAGCAGUAGGGAAUCUUCCGCAAUGGGCGAAAGCCUGACGGAGCAACGCCGCGUGAGUGAUGAAGGUCUUCGGAUCGUAAAACUCUGUUAUUAGGGAAGAACAUAUGUGUAAGUAACUGUGCACAUCUUGACGGCACCUAAUCAGAAAGCCACGGCUAACUACGUG